rnacentral:misc_RNA from 1 species
CGCAUCUUGCGCCCCGUGGUAUUCCGCGGGGCACGCCUGUUUGAGUGUCACGUUAAUCCUCGUCCUACAUGAUUUUUUGUGUAGUGCGGAUUUGGAGGCUGCCGUAGUUGGCUCCUCUUGAAAUACAUUAGCUGUCUAAAUUGUAAGCAUACGUGUGAUAAUUUCGUCGCAAUGUGCAUAUAGUGGUGACGGCUCAUAAAAAACCCCAUUUUAUGACUUUGGCCUCAAAUCAGGUGGGACUACCCGCUGAACUUAA